rnacentral:rRNA from 1 species
UGAAGCUGGAAUUGCUAGUAAUGGCAGGUCAGCAUACUGCCGUGAAUACGUUCCCGGGCCUUGUACACACCGCCCGUCACACCAUGAGAGUUGGAAAUACCCGAAGCCUGUGAGCUAACUGUAAAGAGGCAGCAGUCGAAGGUAGAGCCAAUGAUUGGGGUGAAGUCGUAACAAGGUAAC